UAAAUCAGAGACUAUCUACCCUAGCUCCCUCAAAGCCUGGGAAAGGAGACCAGAAAGAACUACAAGCUGGGGCAUUGGUCACAGAAUAUGAAGGCAUCCAAGUUAUCAAAAGCAGGUAACAAUAACGUCAAGAAAGUAUGUUCCGAGAACUUGAAUACAAAUUUAGAGAAUAUACAAGAAGUUUUAAUCUCACAUAGUUCUUAAGGUGAAAUCUUGGCUCAGGGCAGAUAAUAAGUCAGGGUGUGAGUCAUCUCUCUUCAGUUGGAAUGACAAGAGACCCAGACCUUGGCACUAGAGAUUCAAGGGUUAUCCACACCCACAUUCCUUUUCAUGCCUCACCUGUCCCAGGUAUGCACUAAAACUCCAGCUAAAAAUAACUACAGAAACUCGAUCUCUGGGAAAUAGCACUUAACAGUCUAACCCUAAAGUGAAGAGCUGGUUUGUGCCAAAUAGAAGAGAGACAGGAAGAAAAUGGGCUCAUGUGGGACCAUGUAAUCUCUAGGAUGUGGGCCCUGAUGUCUGUUUUUAUUCUUGGAAGUUUUAAUCUGCUCACAGCCAUCCCUCCACCUGAUACCUCCGUUAACCUGUGGAUGCCAUCUAGGGGCUGACAGAAACCAGAAGGAUGGGGGAAUGCAAUGGAGUGUGGCAAAAUGUUAGUCAAGAGACCUGUUGACUUGCUGUGUGACCUCGUGGGAGUUACUGAAUCUUGAUUUCUCUCAUUUGUUAAUAUGGAAAUAAGAGAAUCUAUCCCAUCUGCCUCCCAGAGUCUUGCACCUAGUUUUUGUUUUGCAUUUUUAAAUUCUGUCAUCGCCCUCCCUUCCAGUAUCUGCUAUAUCCCAUCUACUGUGCCUGGUACCAGGAAGACAGUUCUGAAAAAAAGUUAGAUGCUCCCUUUGCUGAACUCAGCCUUAGGUGAAUGCAGUCUUAGCAAUGUACUGUGAUUAUGCUUGCCUAGAGGGCAGGGACUGUGGCUUAUUCAUGGAUGCAAUUUUAACAACUUGUAGGGCCCAGCACACAGCAAGUGUUGAAUAUCUGUCAUUUUCUGGAACAUACUAUGUUUCAGCAACUUUACAUGUGUGGUCUCUAGUUCUUGAACAAUCCUGAAGAAAGGUAGAUACUACUGUUCACAUUAUAAGCUGUGUGGCCAGAUGGUCGAAUCUGCCCCUUACUAGCUCUGGGACCUUUGGCAAGUUAUUCAAACUUUCUGUGUUUCAGUAUUAUCUGAAGACAUGCAGAUAGCAAUAUACCUACCUUACAAGGUUGUGAGGUUUAAAUGGGGUAGACUGGCUCAUCAUAUGAUUAGUAUGUGUUAGCCAUUAUGAGUAUAUUAUUGUUACUAUUAUCAUAGAUGGCUAAGUAGAUUGCCCAGGUCAUACAGCAGGUAAGGGGCCAAGCAAAAUUUGGUUUCAAGACUCUACCCUUGAUAUUACAUACACUGUGUGUGUGUGUGUGUGUAUAACUUCAUAUUUGUCAUUCAGUAAGUGCUUAUUGAAUGAAUGAUUGAGCCAUAAUAUAGUAUAUAUUUUUUCUUUUGGAAAAAUUUCUUCGACCAGCAAAUAAGUAUUACCUAAAUGAGCUUUCAGAGUCCACAGCCUAUUUGCAAAUUGGCAACAGCCUGGUGGGAGAAUAUGAAAUUUUAUUUCCACCAGUAGAUGGCAGAAGGAAGAAAAGGUACUUGUGAAAGGACAGGAGUUGUCACUCUGAGCAGAAUGAUUAAUAAUGAGACACAGUGGCUGAUUACAAGGGCUCUUGGUGUCAUGUCUGGCCCACAGUGACUAAGGGGUGGGGGCUGGUGUGGGUAUGAGAACUCCCCACAGGUAUUUGAAGAGUGGCAGCCUUCGAGAAGAUCUAGGCUGACCCACAGGAUGGGCCCUGGGAGACUCAAGUACACAGAAGUUCAGAUGUAGUAAGAAGAAAAAGUUGCCUUCUGCUCUUCUCCCAGCUCCACAGCCAUAGUCCGCAUUCUCCCCUUUUCAUCUUACGAGCAGCUUUUUCUUUUCAAAAGUCUGCCCUUCCCUUCUAGGGUUUUGAUGAAAUCACUUCCCCUCUGUUUAUGCCCUGCCCGCCCCCGCAGCCUGAACCUACAGAUACUGUUAUUCCCUCUCUGCCAACCCCAGUACACGUUGUUUGUGUUUAGAAUCUAAAUUCUCCAAGCCAUUAAUGCCCUUCUGUUGUCGCCCUCUGUCUUACUGCAUAUCCAUCUGGUAAGCCUUGUUGCCCUCCCUCUGUCAAACCAGCAUGGUGCUGGUUAGCGGGUGAGCCACUCGUUGGUCUGUUCUGUUCUAAAAAGCUGUCUUUCAGCUCCAGUGACAGGGAAGUGUCCCUCUGGUUCCAUAAGAGUAGGAGAAGCACUCAGGCAUGGUGGUCAGAGACCCUGGGCAAACUGCCGUCCCUGAUUGCCCGUGCUGGCUCUCCUCCAGGCAUUCCUUUGCGGGAGGAGUCUACCGAUGACUCUGGCUUAAUACCCGACUUCUUAGAAAUUCGAACCCAACCUAUUCAAUCCAAUGCCAGCUUCAAAACAACAUCCUUGUUAUGUUUUCUGGGUGGGUCAGGAGAGCGGGGACCGCCGGAAGAUUUCUUACUUGACAUAUUCUGUUUAGGUACAUUCAUAAUGGCUCGUUUGUGAUUCUUUAUAAUAAGAGAGAGCCCGCUGUGUGCUGGGCAUUGGCUAGGGGCUUGGCAUAUGUUAGUUCAUUUACUGGAAGUAAUGACUCAUUUCUUGAGGAAACCUAGGAAAGCUUGUUUAUGAUAUGUUAAAACCACAGCCUGAUCAUUCCUUAUUCUGCAUCUCCCAUGAUUGCGUAUGUGCCUCCAAGGGUGUUCAGGGACUUUUGCAGGGAAGGCUUAUGCUAACAAAAUGAAGCGGAGGUUCCGGCACAUCGUAGUUAAUCUGUGGCUUCUGUUUUUCUUUCAUUGAUUUGGGUGGGAUUCAAAGGGCUGGGGGUGAGGGGCAAGUGGGAAAGAUGUCCCUCUUCACUGUAGUUUUGUGUUUUCGCCAAAUCCCUAGAAAAUGAAUAAAUUUGACGCUUGGACUCGGCCAUAAUAUUCCCGUGUGCAGCCUCCCACAAAAUCAGAACUUGAGGGUUGAGAGGAUCUUGGCAAUCAACCAGAUUGUUCAUUUUUCCUUCGAGUCAAGGAAAGUAUGUGUGUGUUUAUAAGUUUGGAUAUGUUUUAUAUUGUGCUCCUGAGGUUAUAGCUAUUUAAAGAGAGACUAAAAUAGACUCAUUCUCUUCACAAAAGUUCUAGUGGAAUUUUGUUCAUAAUACCUGCCUAAGGAAAAAAAAAUGCUUGCUUUUUAGGACUAACAUCUGGAGACUGGAGUCUCCUUUUGGAGAAGAGUGGUGGAAAAUGUUGGGAACAAAAAUGUGUUUUAGAAAACCCUGAUCAGCCUAACCCAUUUUCCUAAUAAAUGCCAGUGUUGUCCCUAACCAGGUUCUGGGUGCUGUCUCUGGAGGAGUGUGGAACCCCGCUCAGAGUUUUCACGCAACCUCCGUUGACUGACGGACCCAAAGGUUUGGAAGAAUUGUUAGCCCUGACUUACAGAUUGGGAAGCUGAGGAGGAAAGUGUUUAGUCACCUGCCCAAUGUUGUGAAGGCUGGCAUUUACUCGGGAGCUAACCAGGAACACAUUUUGCAUACAUUUGUUGUUUAAUCUUUCCAACAGCCCUAAGAGACUCAAGAAGCAGCCUUCCUGCCUCCAGUGCCCGAAAUCCACGAGUGAGUAAAUGAGUCUUACUGAACAGCUGCUAUGUGCUGGAUGUAGUUCUAUUUGAUGUGCAUGACAACACUGUGAAUUAAAUGUUAGGUGCUC